CCUACGGGCGGCAGCAGUCGAGAAUCAUUCACAAUGGGGGAAACCCUGAUGGGGCGACGCCGCGUGGGGGAAUGAAGGUCUUCGGAUUGUAAACCCCUGUCAUGUGGGAGAAAAUUAAAAAGAUAGUACCACAAGAGGAAGAGACGGCUAACUCUGUGCCAGCAGCCGCGGUAAUACAGAGGUCGCAAGCGUGGGUCGGAAUCACUGGGCGUAAAGCGUGCGGAGGCUGUUUCGUAAGUCGGGUGUGAAAGGCGCGGGCUCAACCCGCGGACUGCACAUGAUACUGCGAGACUAGAGUACUGGAGGGGUAACCGGAAUUCUCGGUGUAGCAGUGAAAUGCGUAGAUAUCGUGAGGAACACUCGUGGCGAAGGCGGGUUCCUGGACAUUAACUGACGCUGAGGCACGAAGGCCAGGGGAGCGAACGGGAUUAGAUACCCGAGUAGUC
rnacentral:rRNA from 1 species